AGUGAACGCUGGCGGUAGGCCUAACACAUGCAAGUCGAACGGCAGCACAGGAGAGCUUGCUCUCUGGGUGGCGAGUGGCGGACGGGUGAGGAAUACAUCGGAAUCUACUCUGUCGUGGGGGAUAACGUAGGGAAACUUACGCUAAUACCGCAUACGACCUACGGGUGAAAGCAGGGGACCUUCGGGCCUUGCGCGAUUGAAUGAGCCGAUGUCGGAUUAGCUAGUUGGCGGGGUAAAGGCCCACCAAGGCGACGAUCCGUAGCUGGUCUGAGAGGAUGAUCGGACACACUGGAACUGAGAAACGGUCCAGACUCCUACGGGAGGCAGCAGUGGGGAAUAUUGGACAAUGGGCGCAAGCCUGAUCCAGCCAUACCGCGUGGGUGAAGAAGGCCUUCGGGUUGUAAAGCCCUUUUGUUGGGAAAGAAAUCCAGCUGGCUAAUACCCGGUUGGGAUGACGGUACCCAAAGAAUAAGCACCGGCUAACUUCGUGCCAGCCGCCGCCGUAA
rnacentral:rRNA from 1 species